CGGGGGGGGGGCAAGCGUUGUUCGGGAAUUACUGGGCGUAAAGGGCGCGCAGGCGGCCCGGCCAGUCCUACGUGAAAUCCCACAGCUCAACUGUGGAACUGCGUGGGAUACUGCCAGGCUUGAGUCCGGGAGAGGAGAGUGGAAUUCCCAGUGUAGCGGUGAAAUGCGUAGAUAUUGGGAGGAACACCGGUGGCGAAGGCGGCUCUCUGGACCGGCACUGACGCUGAGGCGCGAAAGCUAGGGGAGCAAACGGGAUUAGAUACCCCGGUAGUCCUAGCCCUAAACGAUGAGCACUUUGUGUGGCGGGUAUCGACCCCUGCCGUGCAGAAGCUAACGCAUUAAGUGCUCCGCCUGGGGAGUACGGUCGCAAGGCUG
rnacentral:rRNA from 1 species